rnacentral:rRNA from 1 species
GACGGAGGAUGCAAGCGUUAUCCGGAAUGAUUGGGCGUAAAGCGUCCGCAGGUGGCAGUUCAAGUCUGCUGUCAAAGACCGGGGCUUAACUUCGGAAAGGCAGUGGAAACUGAACAGCUAGAGUAUGGUAGGGGCAGAGGGAAUUCCGGGUGUAGCGGUGAAAUGCGUAGAGAUCAGGAAGAACAUCGGUGGCGAAGGCGAUCUGCUGGACCAUAACUGACACUCAGGGACGAAAGCGAGGGGAGCGAAUGGG